UCGAUUAUACGGUAUGUAGCGCUAUCCCUUCUUUCUUUGCUUGGCAUGACUUUUAAAAAUAAGCGAAUAACGGACAGAUUUGAUACUUACCUCUAAAGCGUCUAGGUGAUGUAUAUUCUUGCUUCCACAAUUAUUCCUCUAUAUAUCGGCUAUGUCUAAGGCUAUGAUGAUCUCUAAUAUCUAUGGUAAUGCUUCUUAGAGUCAUUGAGAUUUUACGUUUCCAUAUCGUAUUAAAGGUUCAUAAUCUUGAUAAAACAUUAAUCUUUGGUAAUACUCCUUGCUGGUUCACGUUCAUUGUUCUAUCGAGUUAUAAGAAAUGAUUUUAAUUGCAUAUGGUUGCUCAUAAUAUUCUGCUCGUGCAUAGAGUCAUUUAUCAUUUCACCGAGUCCCGGGCCGGGUAAUGUUAGUGCGGAGUUUCUUGCAUAUGUCACCGACUUCCUCACUAGAGGGUCGGGUAUGUAUAUUAUAUAUAUGAUUGGUGAUGAGGAUGGUUAUGAUGAUGAUGAUGAUGGAGAUGACGUGAUGAUUAUUUUGCCGAGCCCCUCACUAGGGAAGCUGGGCACCUUAAAUGUUAAAUAUAUGCAUGAUUUUCACUUAAAAAGUAUAUGUGUAGCGAUAUUUUGUUUCGACUUGCCACAUUGGUAUCCUUUCAUCUUUACCUUAUGCGUUACAUACUCAGUACAUUGUCCGUACUGACCCCCCUUUCCUCGGGAGGCUGCGUUUCAUGCCCGCAGGUGUAGACGCGCAGUUCGGUGAUCCUCCCGCCUAGGAUAUCUACUCUGCUGAUUGGGAGAGCUCCACUGUUCCGGAGCCCAGUCGUUUUGGUACAUAACUUUUGUGUAGUCUUUUGCUCGUCUAUGGGUAUAGCGGGGCCCUGUCCCGUCGAGUUUCACUAAUGUACUCUUAGAGGUCUGUGGACAUUAUGUGGGUUGUAUAUAUAUAUGUUUUGGAUAAUGGUCUGGACAUGGUUUGUUUGGGAUGUCCGCUUGUACAGGGGCAGCCUUGUCGGCUGCGUACAUCAUUAUGCUUUGAAUAGUGGCGGCCUUGUCGGCUCGCGUAUGCUGUUAUGGUUGAAUGGUUAUGACUCUUUAUGAGACAGGUCCUCUUAUAUAUAUAUGACGUUGGGGUUGGCUUGAUUUGAUUAAAUUCCAUAUUGUCUUAGUUUCAGUUGGUCAUACUUAGCAGGUUUGUAUGUGGGUGUCCAAAACGGGCACUAAUCACGGCCUAUCGGGUUGGGUCGUGACAUUCUUAGAGUCAUUGAGAUUUUAUGUUUCCAUAUCGUAUUAAAGGUUCAUAAUCUUGAUAAAACAUUAAUCUUUGGUAAUACUCCUUGCUGGUUCACGUUGAUUGUUCUAUUGAGUUAUAAGAAAUGAUUUUAAUUGCAUAUGGUUGCUCAUAAUAUUCUGCUCAUGCAUAGAGUCAUUUAUCAUUUCACCGAGUCCCGGGCCGGGUAAUGUUCGUGCGAAGUUUCUUGCAUAUGUCACCGAGUUCCUCACUAGAGGGCCAGGUAUGUAUAUCAUAUAUAUGAUUGGUGAUGAGGAUGGUUAUGAUGAUGAUGAUGACGGAGAUGACGUGAUGAUUAUUUUGCCGAGCCCCUUUCUAGGGAAGCUGGGCACCAUUGUUGAAGAUAUGCAUGAUUUUCACUUAAAAGGGUAUAUGUGUAGCGAUAUUUUGUUUCGACUUGCCAUAUUGGUAUCCUGUCAUCUUUACCUUAUGCAUUACAUACUCAGUACAUUGUCCGUACUGACCCCCCUGUGCUCGGGGGGCUGCGUUUCAUGCCCGCAGGUGUAGAUGCAAAGUUCGAUGAUCCUCCCACCUAGGAUAUCUACUCUGCUGAUUGGGAGAGCUCCACUAUUGCGGAGCCCAGUUGUUUUGGUACAUAACUUUUUGUGUAGUCUUUUGCUCGUCUAUGGGUAUGGCGGGGUCCUGUCCCGUCGAGUUUCACUAAUGUACUCUUAUAGGUCUGUGGACAUUAUGUGGGUUGUAUAUAUAUGUUUUGGAUAAUGGUCUGGACAUGGUUUGUUUGGGAUGUCCGCUUGUACAGGGGCAGCCUUGUCGGCUGCGUACAUCAUUGUGUAUUGUGUAGUGGCAGCCUUGUCGGCUUACGUAUGUUAUUAUGCUUUGAAUAGUGGCGGCCUUGUCGGCUCGCGUAUGUUGUUACGCUUGAAUGGUUAUGAAUCCUUAUGAGACAGGUCCU
rnacentral:lncRNA from 1 species